UUGCUCCUUUGAGUUAGCGGCGGANGGGUGANUAACACGUGGGUAACCUACCUAUAAGACUGGGAUAACUUCGGGAAACCGGAGCUAAUACCGGAUAACAUUUAGAACCGCAUGGUUCUAAAGUGAAAGAUGGUUUUGCUAUCACUUAUAGAUGGACCCGCGCCGUAUUAGCUAGUUGGUAAGGUAACGGCUUACCAAGGCGACGAUACGUAGCCGACCUGAGAGGGUGAUCGGCCACACUGGAACUGAGACACGGUCCAGACUCCUACGGGAGGCAGCAGUAGGGAAUCUUCCGCAAUGGGCGAAAGCCUGACGGANCAACGCCGCGUGAGUGAUGAAGGGUUUCGGCUCGUAAAACUCUGUUAUUAGGGAAGAACAAAUGUGUAAGUAACUGUGCACAUCUUGACGGUACCUAAUCAGAAAGCCACGGCUAACUACGUGCCAGCAGCCGCGGUAAUACGUNNGUGNCAAGCGUUAUCCGGAAUUAUUGGGCGUAAAGCGCG
rnacentral:rRNA from 1 species